rnacentral:misc_RNA from 1 species
UGUGGGAGCGGGCUUGCUCGCGAAGGCGGAUUGUCAGGCGCCAUUUUUGCCAACUGACACACCGCUUUCGCGAGCAAGCCCGCUCCCACA